rnacentral:tRNA from 1 species
CGGGGUGUGGCGCAGCCUGGUAGCGCGCCGCGUUUGGGACGCGGAGGCCGCUGGUUCGAAUCCAGUCACCCCGACCA